GCCUGUGUGGUGUAGUGGUUUGAAUGUUGGACUGUGACUCUGGAGACCAGGGAUUGAUUCCCAGCUCAGCCU